GCGCGCUUAGCCCAACCGGAAGAGGCACCGAGCUUAAGACUCGGCUUGUGUCGGUUCGAAUCCGACAGCGCGCACCA
rnacentral:tRNA from 2 species